UGGCCAUAGUUGGAUCUCAACUGUCUCUGGCGGCGGCUAUCCCAAGAUUGGCUCGUUCUCAUCUGUGUCGUCUCUGGCUCUGCUUAUAUAGGGGUUAUGCAGACUGGAUACCAGACACCAUUUCUCACAGUUCCGUUUCUACUAUUUCGACAGUCCGCUGUUAUGCAACGAGCCUUCAGUUGUUCAUCUCCGGGGAGAUUCGUUCAUUGUUUCGCCAUUGUCUAUGCGAUGGCUCACUGUUAUUGCGUUACCAUGGAAGUACCUACUCCAAACAUGUUACAAUAUUUUAGAGUGUUCUAAUAUGAAGAUAUCUGUGAGCAAAAUAUACCUAGUGUAUGGUUACUAUGAGUACCUUUUCUUUAGGCCAGUAUGUAUACCAACAAAUAUUUGAUCUGUAUUGACAAGCUUGUCAAAAGUCUCACACAUUUACCAUUGCACUGUAUUUUUCAAUCGUGAGGCAAAAACUGAACCUGAGAGUACCAGCAAACAUGUGUGUGUGUGGGGGGGGGGAGUGCCAAGUAUUAUCAUGUUAUGUAACCAUAAAUUUUUUGUGUCAUUGCAAGCCACAUUGAAGUCUUACAUUUUGUUGAAAUUAAAAGUGGAUCAAGUUUGAAAUCGUACAUACAGACUCGCAUGCAAAUCAGUAUCUGUCUUUUAAUGCUCUUCAUGUAAUUGUUUCAGGCCUGCAACUCACCAGCACGAGACCUCAAGUGACUCAUCUGCCAUAAGAGGAAGAAGUUAUUGCUGUACAGUCACAACGAGCAAGUUACAGCAUUUCUCUGAUGUCCAUUAUGCUGUCCUAUCAUCCAUGCAUGACAGGAAGAUACUACAGUAUUACAGUAUUACAGGAAGAAAUGUCAGUUUGAUGUGUGUGACCAUUUCUCGCAGGAAACACGCAUUUUGAUGGAGUGUGAUGUGGGAGUUCCAUAAUGAAACCUGUCUAAAGCAUUGUAUCGGCUUCCACUUCGAUUGGUCUAAAUCACUUUCAUGUAUAUCUUACAGAAGUGUUAGAAGUUACAAACGUUUGGUAAAGUUUUUGUCUAUAUGUAAAAUGGACUCUGUAUGCUUGCACCUUACCUCCCUUUUGCUAGUUUGUAUUGAAUAAAAUACAGCCAAUGAUAUCUCUUUCCCAAAACUCGUCCUGUAAACUGUGGCUCUCAUAUAUGCAUACAGUAUCAGCAUGUGACAAUUUGGAAUAAUUGACAGUGGGCUUUUCUAAACACCUGGUAACUUGAAAAACUGUUGUCUUCUUAGCUGUGAGGCCAUGUACACUGGUAGAACGUUACCACCACUUUGGAAGAACAUGUAAAGUGAUAAGACCCUGAAGAUGGAGGCCUCACAUUCCUCAGAGAUGUUGGUAACAUUCUACCAGACUACAUGGUGUCACAUCCCAGAAGUCUCAAAUCUUUGUUGUUACAGGCAUAUUCCUAUGGAAGAUCUUAGCCGAAGACUUGUUCGCUUAGAGAGUAUACAUUGUAAUUGCACAUACAGGGAAUACACAGUCAUGAGCAGAUAACAGUUGGUUUUUGAUUUGACAUAGGAGUUGGGUGUAGGAAUUGAGAACUGAGAGUUGCCUGUUCUGUGUUUGUCGAUACUUCUGAAUUGCAUGGUGACAGUGAGGAGGCUAUGGCUUAUACUUGGAAUGAAGAGUAUAGCAUUCUGAGUUGUAGCAGUGUGUAGUUCAGAGAGAGCUCCGCGUUUUGGAGGUGACAUAUUCUUCCUAAACAUUGGGCCAUCUCCAAACUACACGUUGGUACAACGGAAGACCCUGGACUGUAUGUGUAAGAUACGUAAAUUUUUAGUAAUUGUAAGUACAAAUUGGAUAGGAACUGCUGGAGCUUUUGGGGUUGGUGGGGAGAUAUUAAGGUUUUUUUCUAAUUGGUACAGUUAGAAAUUUCUUGGCAGCUAAUUCCUCAAUCUGACAAGCCGUAGUGGACAGUCUAGGCAUUGUAUUGAUGAAGAAUUCUGUAAUACAAGUUUAUGGAAGUAUGACUGCCAUAACUUGGCUGAAGUAAAGACACAUGGGUUGCAGCAUAGUGAAAGCAAUAUGAAUCACUUCGUUGAAUAGUAACGUAAUCCAUAAUGUUUAAUAGUUUAGGACUUACACUGUUGCAAGAUAUUUUACAUUCAUUGUAUCCAAAAAUUAUAUACACUGAAGCAAAUAUAAACAUUAUGAUGUAUCUGAGGCUAUUUGGAUCUUUCUGGAUGGGAUAUUUGUAAUUUAUUUUAAUAAAUACUCUUCAGAGCUGA